ACGAACGCUGGCGGCAUGCCUAACACAUGCAAGUCGAACGGGAUGGAGCCUUCGGGCUCCGGCGAGUGGCGAACGGGUGAGUAACACGUGGGUAACCUACCCUUCACUGGGGGACAACCGAGGGAAACUUCGGCUAAUACCGCAUGAUGUGCGAUGCCAUGAGGUGUCGUACCAAAACUCCGGUGGUGAAGGAUGGGCCCGCGGCGGAUUAGCUAGAUGGUGGGGUAAUGGCCUACCAUGGCGACGAUCCGUAGCUGGUCUGAGAGGACGAUCAGCCACACUGGGACUGAGACACGGCCCAGACUCCUACGGGAGGCAGCAGUGGGGAAUCUUGCGCAAUGGGCGAAAGCCUGACGCAGCAAUGCCGCGUGAGGGAAGAAGGUCUUAGGAUUGUAAACCUCUUUCAGCAGGGAAGAAAACAGACGGUACCUGCAGAAGAAGCCCCGGCUAACUACGU
rnacentral:rRNA from 1 species